GACGAACGCUGGCGGCGUGCCUAAUACAUGCAAGUCGAACGCUGAAGAGAGGAGCUUACUCUUCUUGGAUGAGUUGCGAACGGGUGAGUAACGCGUAGGUAACCUGCCUUGUAGCGGGGGAUAACUAUUGGAAACGAUAGCUAAUACCGCAUAACAAUGGAUGACACAUGUCAUUUAUUUGAGAGGGGCAAUUGCUCCACUACAAGAUGGACCUGCGUUGUAUUAGCUAGUAGGUGAGGUAAUGGCUCACCUAGGCGACGAUACAUAGCCGACCUGAGAGGGUGAUCGGCCACACUGGGACUGAGACACGGCCCAGACUCCUACGGGAGGCAGCAGUAGGGAAUCUUCGGCAAUGGGGGCAACCCUGACCGAGCAACGCCGCGUGAGUGAAGAAGGUUUACGGAUCGUAAAGCUCUGUUGUAAGUCAAGAACGGGUGUGAGAGUGGAAAGUUCACACUGUGACGGUAGCUUACCAGAAAGGGACGGCUAACUACGUG
rnacentral:rRNA from 1 species